AGCAGUCGCCGCGGGAAUACGAAGGGGGCUAGCGUUGCUCGGAAUCACUGGGCGUAAAGGGUGCGUAGGCGGGUCUUUAAGUCAGGGGUGAAAUCCUGGAGCUCAACUCCAGAACUGCCUUUGAUACUGAAGAUCUUGAGUUCGGGAGAGGUGAGUGGAACUGCGAGUGUAGAGGUGAAAUUCGUAGAUAUUCGCAAGAACACCAGUGGCGAAGGCGGCUCACUGGCCCGAUACUGACGCUGAGGCACGAAAGCGUGGGGAGCAAACAGGAUUAGAUACCCCUGUAGUCCCUGUCUCUUAUAA
rnacentral:rRNA from 1 species